rnacentral:rRNA from 1 species
AUUGAACGCUGGCGGCAUGCCUUACACAUGCAAGUCGAACGGUAACGCGGGGCAACCUGGCGACGAGUGGCGAACGGGUGAGUAAUGCAUCGGAACGUGCCCAGUAGUGGGGGAUAGCCCGGCGAAAGCCGGAUUAAUACCGCAUACGACCUACGGGUGAAAGCGGGGGACCGUAAGGCCUCGCGCUGUUGGAGCGGCCGAUGUCAGAUUAGGUAGUUGGUGGGGUAAAGGCCUACCAAGCCUUCGAUCUGUAGCUGGUCUGAGAGGACGACCAGCCACACUGGGACUGAGACACGGCCCAGACUCCUACGGGAGGCAGCAGUGGGGAAUUUUGGACAAUGGGCGCAAGCCUGAUCCAGCCAUGCCGCGUGCGGGAAGAAGGCCUUCGGGUUGUAAACCGCUUUUGUCAGGGAAGAAACGCUCCGGGCUAAUACCCUGGGGUAAUGACGGUACCUGAAGAAUAAGCACCGGCUAACUACGUGCCAGCAGCCGCGG